GGUUCUCUGCUCUUCGCUGGAACCUUGGCUCUUGCCCUAGAAACCCAAGGAGGGCCUGGACUGUUGCUGGGUGAAUAGGAACUGGCACAGGAAGAUGACUCAGAGAGUGGCACACUGAGCCCUGAGUGGGUGGUCAGAGGGCAGGAACCUAAGGCCAGGCCCUGAUGCUGGCAAGCUGUGCCAUCUUGUCUAAACACGGAAGCUCUUUGUCCCUCCAUUGCCUUACAUGCCAACGGUAAAGAUGCAACGGACUGAAAAGCCGUUCUACAAGGGAAAACUAACACUGUUUUUAAAACCAUGAUUGGGUAGAAGAUCAGCCCUUGCUGGGCACAUGCCCGGCAGAAAUCAAGAGGGGAGGAGUGGCAACCGUUCUGAAGAGCACGGCUGAAGUGGACACAGGCUGAGUGUGGGUGCCCAGCACCGUGAUGGCCUGAGAGUGUCUGGAGAGCUGGAGCUGGCCCGUGGCCCCACUGAAGCCUAGUUAAGUGAUACAGACUUGCUUGGCCUAGAGCAAGGGUGGUACCCUGUGUUUGUCCUUAGAAAGGUUCAGAGUCCGGGAGCAAGCAGGCGUCCGUCCACACUGGCUAUUUUCCUGCCUGCGUCCCUCUGUAGUGUUUGAACAGAUAGAACUGUGUUGCUGGGGGUUUGCAACAACAUGAAACCAGAAAUAUACAGGUCUGUCAUGGCCUCAGCGGGGACCUUUAAGAAGCCCAGAACCCCCAAGCUUCCCCAGGCUUCCCUACCCAGUGUAUUCUUAGCUACGCAGACAGAGGAGCCUGUUCACGUUGCUGCCAACUUUCCCUGACUGGAAUGAGAAGCCAGGUCAUCUGGUCUCAGAAGCACUGCUUCUGCCACUACACACCACAGCCUUCCUGUUGGCCUCUGAUGGCACUGCUGCCAGGAGAGUGACAAGAAGAAGGAACAAGGAACCGAGGGUGGUGGCGUGAGGUGACGUGGCUUUCCAUGUCACCAGGUCAGAAGACCUGGUGUUGAAUCCUGAUUUCCUCACCCGGCUGUGUGUCUCAGGUACUGCCUCUCAGAACCUCCUGUCAUAGAAACCUGACGGAGACCACUAUGCUCCUCAGACAUAGCUAUAUCUGUGGAGCUCAAAACAUCAUCAUCUAGGUCUCGGAUUCCCUGCCUGAGGGAAGGGAAGGAUUAGGUGCCUGGCUCUGAGUCACCGCGCCACUGACGUCCUCCACCCUAGUUUGCUCUCACACACAAUUGACUCUUGCGUGUGGGUACUGUGAUUGUUCCCAUUUUCCACAGCAGGAUAUUGGGUUUCAGAAAGGUGAAGUAACUCACUCCUAGUUACUCAACUGGAAAGCAGAGAAGCUAAGAUUCAAAUCCAGGCCUGUGUGGCCACAGAGUCUGAGCUUUGAGCUGCAAAUCCCAUGACACUGGACCUUUCCGGUAAAUGGAAGGCUGUCGUCACAUAGGUCUCUCCAACAAUGCAACACAAGCUAAUGAGAAAAUCAGCUCAAAUUAAGUUCAUAUCAUAGCUGCUUUAAUGGCACCUGGAUCCUGUUGCUCCAAAGACUGGAAGAUGACAGUUGGAUAGAGCAUGCUCAGGAAUGAGAUCAAACUUAGGACAAUGACCUGCAGGGUGAAGAACCUUGGAUAAUACACUCGGAAGGAACAAGUCAAGUCACAGUCCACAUCCAGGCCUGACUUCGUCCUGCUGCUCCUCGCUCUUCCCCAGGCUGAUUCAUUCUCCUCCACCGAGCCUUGCCUGCUGCACACAUCCUGCUCAGCAAUCCUGCUGAAGCAGUCCCCUCUGCAGUUACCCUCUGUCAGCACCCUUCCUUACACACAUGCAAUGACCACACGCAUGUGAUAAGAACAGUCUGUAAUCUGCUCUGUUUCCUCAAAUGAAGCCUUCAGGUGUUUUCCUGUCCCUUGUGCUGUUGCUGCUGUCUUUCUUCUGAGUCCUUGGUACCUACCAUGAUACCUGGCUCACAGUGAAUGGCUAAUAAAUAGUUAUUGGGCGAAUAAAUGAGCAGAUGCCUAACUUCA